rnacentral:rRNA from 1 species
CACGUAGGGCGCAAGCGUUGUCCGGAAUCAUUGGGCGUAAAGCGCGUGUAGGCGGCCCGAUAAGUCCGCUGUGAAAGUCCAGGGCUCAACCCUGGGAUGCCGGUGGAUACUGUCGGGCUCGAGUCCGGAAGAGGAGUGUGGAAUUCCUGGUGUAGCGGUGAAAUGCGCAGAUAUCAGGAGGAACACCGGUGGCGAAGGCGGAUCUCUGGGCCAUUACUGACGCUGAGGAGCGAAAGCGUGGGGAGCGAACAGG